CACCGCUCACACACGCACACAUACACGCACACGGCGAAACUGAGUUUUUUCUACACACCACAGGAAAAAAAAUGCAAUUUAGAACGGCUGCUGCUUGGCUUUGUUUGCUGCAGGCGCACAGUAAGGGAAAGAGAGCAAGAGAAAAAGCGCAGACAGAGAGGAGAGAGUGCAAUUGAAACACACACAUACACACGCACACAUAUGCGGCCACAUGUCGACAUGGAAAUGAGGGAGAUAGCUGCAUCCACAAUAUGGCAAACUCGGCUAAUACUUGCCAUGGGAGUAAGUGGGAUAGAUUUUCAAAAUUACCGUAUCAAGUUGAUGUCAAUGAAAGGAAAUGGAAUGACGUAUGGAUCUAGACGAAAUCAAUAGCCGGAUGACCAUAAAUAUAAAAGUGUACUCAACUUCUACAAUAGUAUAUCCGAAUCAUAUUUACAAGUUUUCAUGAUCAACUUGAAAUCUUAUUAGAAACUAUAACAGACCUUGCUCAACACUUGAGCGCUUGAUUUGAACUUCACACUUAUUAAAUUAUUUUGUAAUUGUUAAU